CAAAAAACUCUUUGAUCCAUUCAUCACUGAGGUUUUAAAGCCUUGUUUGGAAAUAUAAAUGGGUCAGUGGUUUACAUGUAAACCAACUACUGUUGACCUUGUUUGAAUGUUUGCUCCAUUAAUUAUGGUUGAUAUAAUAGUGUAGAAUAUAGGCACAUCUUUAAGUACUUAACACUUUUAUCGGUUUGGUGGACAUAAAUUGUUAUCAAAUGUAUUGGCACAAAGUGUAAGGUGGUUUUUCAGUGUAAUCAUAAUUUUGUAUUAAUAAGACUACUAACAGGUUGGUUUCUAUUCUGAUGCAUGUGAAUUUAAUGAAUCAGGAGGGGAAAAACAAUGUCCAAGUGAGGUAAGGUGGGUGGCAAUGAUAUUUUAGUGGUGCUGACACCUUAACUACGGAUCUUACAGAAAUACUCAAAACUCCUUGCUUAAACCAUAGGUGCAAUGCGUUAUUAAAUUGAAAAUGAUAGAUCUCUCUACUUUUUUUCGGUAAGGAGUGAAACUUGCCGUCUAU